rnacentral:rRNA from 1 species
UACGUAGGGUGCAAGCGUUAAUCGGAAUUACUGGGCGUAAAGCGUGCGCAGGCGGUUAUGUAAGACAGUUGUGAAAUCCCCGGGCUCAACCUGGGAAUUGCAUCUGUGACUGCAUAGCUAGAGUACGGUAGAGGGGGAUGGAAUUCCGCGUGUAGCAGUGAAAUGCGUAGAUAUGCGGAGGAACACCGAUGGCGAAGGCAAUCCCCUGGACCUGUACUGGCGCUCAUGCACGAAAGCGUGGGGAGCAAACAGG